AAAUAACUUGAAGUCGUAAUAUGGGCUAUAUAAUAUCUACUUACACGUUUAUCAUUAUCAAUUGUUUUUAUAAUAUUUUCAAAGGUAGGUAAUACAAAUUAUCGCUUUGAUGGGUUCCCUGAAGUGAAUGUCAAAUGUUGUCGUGAACGUUUUUCCAUUAUUAAAUAAAUGCAAUAAUCGGCAAGUCCGAAUUUGGUUCAUCAAUA